rnacentral:rRNA from 1 species
AGGGAAUCUUCCACAAUGGACGAAAGUCUGAUGGAGCAACGCCGCGUGAGUGAUGAAGGUUUUCGGAUCGUAAAACUCUGUUGUAAGGGAAGAACCAGUACGUCAGGCAAUGGACGUACCUUGACGGUACCUUAUUAGAAAGCCACGGCUAACUACGUGCCAGCAGCCGCGGUAAUACGUAGGUGGCAAGCGUUGUCCGGAAUUAUUGGGCGUAAAGCGCGCGCAGGUGGUUUCUUAAGUCUGAUGUGAAAGCCCACGGCUUAACCGUGGAGGGUCAUUGGAAACUGGGCGCCUUGGGUGCAGACGAGGAAAGUGGAAUUCGAAGUGUUGCGGUGGAAUGCCGUGAGAGUUAAGGGAACGCCAGAGGCGAAGGCGACUUUCUAGUCUGAAACUGAUGCUAUGGCGCGAAAGCAUGACGAGGAAACA